AUACAGCUGAUAAGUGCCAAAUAGGACGAAAUACACGUCCUGGAU
rnacentral:hammerhead_ribozyme from 1 species